rnacentral:misc_RNA from 1 species
GAUGAAGAACGUAGCGAAAUGCGAUACGUAAUGUGAAUUGCAGAAUUCAGUGAAUCAUCGAGUCUUUGAACGCACAUUGCGCCGCCUGGUAGUCCGGGGGGCAUGCCUGUCCGAGCGUCAUUGCUGCCCUCAAGCACGGCUUGUGUGUUGGGCCUCCGUCCUCCUCCCGGGGGACGGGCCCGAAAGGCAGCGGCGGCACCGCGUCCGGUCCUCGAGCGUAUGGGGCUUCGUCACCCGCUCUUGUAGGCCCGGCCGGCGCUUGCCGACACAUCAAUCUUUUUUCCAGGUUGACCUCGGAUCAGGUAGGGAUACCCGCUGAACUUAAGCAUAUCAAUAAGCGGAGGA